UAAGGAAUAUUGGACAAUGGCGGCAACGCUGAUCCAGCUAUCCCGCGUGCAGGAUGAAGGGGCUACGCCUUGUAAACUGCUUUGGACUGAGACGAAAAAAUGGGAUUCUUCCCAUAUUGACGGUAUCAGUAGAACAAGCACCGGCUAACUCCGUGCCAGCAGCCGCGGUAAUACGGAGGGUGCAAGCGUUAUCCGGAAUCACUGGGUGUAAAGGGUGCGUAGGCGGCCUGUUAAGUCAGGAGUGAAAGGCCACAGCUUAACUGUGGGAUUGCUUUUGAUACUGGCGGGCUUGGAUUAGGACGAGGUUGGCGGAAUGUGGCAAGUAGCGGUGAAAUGCAUAGAUAUGCCAUAGAAUACCGAUUGCGAAGGCAGCUGACUAGACCUAUAUUGACGCUGAGGCACGAAAGCGUGGGGAGCGAACAGG
rnacentral:rRNA from 1 species